rnacentral:tRNA from 196 species
CGGGGCGUAGCGCAGCCCGGUAGCGCACUUGACUGGGGGUCAAGGGGUCGCUGGUUCGAGUCCAGUCGCCCCGACCA